GACGAACGCUGGCGGCGUGCUUAACACAUGCAAGUCGAACGGAAAGGCCCUGCUUUUGUGGGGUGCUCGAGUGGCGAACGGGUGAGUAACACGUGAGUAACCUGCCCUUGACUUUGGGAUAACUUCAGGAAACUGGGGCUAAUACCGGAUAGGAGCUCCUGCUGCAUGGUGGGGGUUGGAAAGUUUCGGCGGUUGGGGAUGGACUCGCGGCUUAUCAGCUUGUUGGUGGGGUAGUGGCUUACCAAGGCUUUGACGGGUAGCCGGCCUGAGAGGGUGACCGGCCACAUUAGGACUGGAAUGAGGCCCGGACCCCUACCGGAGGCAACGGUGGGGAAUAUUGCAACAUGGGCGGGAGGCUGGUGCAACAAAGCCGCGUGGGGGGAGACGGGCUUUGGGUUGGUAACCGCUUUCCCCUGGGACGGAACGUUAGUGACGGUAAUGGGUAAAGAAGCACCGGCUAACUACGUG
rnacentral:rRNA from 1 species